GACGAACGCUGGCGGCGUGGAUUAGGCAUGCAAGUCGAACGGUAUGGACCUUUCGGGGUUCAGAGAGUGGCGAACGGGUGAGUAACACGUAGGUAAUCUACCCUCAAGACGGGGACAACCCAGGGAAACUUGGGCUAAUACCGGAUGUGUGUAGUGGCUAUUUUUCUGAUUAUCAUUAUUUACGUAAGUGAGUAAUAAUAAGAAGGGAAAGUGGUUAUUACAUAAAAGGUGGCGUAAGCUGCCGCUUGGGGAUGAGCCUGCGUCCUAUUAGUUAGUUGGUGAGGCAACGGCUUACCAAGGCGAUGAUAGGUAGGCGGCCUUAACGGGUGGUCGCCCACACUGGGAUUGAGAUACGGCCCAGACUCCUACGGGAGGCAGCAGUCGAGAAUAGUCUACAAUGGACGGAAGUCUGAUAGUGCGACGCCGCGUGAACGAAGAAUCCCUUCGGGGUGUAAAGUUCUUUUAUACGUGAGCAGUGUCCUUUAUAUUAAUAGUAUAAGGGGAGAGAUAUUAGCGUAUGAAUAAGCAAC
rnacentral:rRNA from 1 species